rnacentral:piRNA from 1 species
UGCAAAGAGAUACGUGUAGUGCCCAAACGA